UGGGGUGUCGGCAAGCUGGCAAGCCACGGGAUUUUGGUUCCCGCAUUCGUAGGUUCGAAUCCUACCGCCCCAG
rnacentral:tRNA from 2 species